AUCCUUUUGUAGUUCAUAACCAUAAUAAUUGGGUUUUCAUGCGCAUGCGUUAGAUGUGCCUCCCACAAAUCUUGUGACGUUGGCACAUUACCCGUCUGAUA